AUUCCAGCUCCAAUAGCGUAUAUUAAAGUUGUUGUGGUUAAAAAGCUCGUAGUUGGAUCUCAACAGCCUUGAAGCGGUUAACUUUGUAGUUUUACUGCUUUAUAGGCUGUGCUUUUGCUGGAGGUUUAGGGGUGCUCUUGAUCGAGUGUCUCUGGAUGCCAGCAGGUUUACUUUGUAAAAAUUAGAGUGCUCAAAGCAGGCUAAAAUGCCUGAAUAUUCGUGCAUGGAAUAAUAGAAUAGGAUGUCGAUCCUACUUUGUUGGUUUUCGGGACUCGACAUAAUGAUAAAUAGGGACAGUCGGGGGCAUUUGUAUUCAAACGACAGAGGUGAAAUUCUUGGACCGUUUGAAGACAAACUACUGCGAAAGCAUUUGCCAAGAAUGUUUUCAUCA
rnacentral:rRNA from 1 species